UGGCUUUCAUUAAAGCUGCCCUGAAAACUUGGCAAAACAAGUAAUGAGUGGUCAGGGUGAGAUGGGGGCUUAUUCUGCCAGGGGGAUUUGAAUGCUGGGAGAAAAGAGCCUAGUGGAGCUGGGAAACCUUUCAGCGUUGGGUGUGCUCCUGCAGGAGGCUCAGGUGUAGAUGAUGCACUGAUUUCUCAUCCUUCUUUCACUGAGAAUUUCAGCAUUAGUCAUAACACUGGGUUCAAGCCAACCAGGUGGCCCUUGAGCACAUCCCACCUUCAUCUGAGAGGAUGCAAACCAAUCCCCAGGGCAUUCAGACACCCAGCCCCAGCAGGGAGAGGCUGCCGGGGGUGAGUUUGUGCAAGCGCCACCCGUGGGUCCCUACGUGAGCCCGUGAGGGGCUGCCUGGCCGAGCAGCGGAUGUUGAAGUCGGUGAUUCAGAUGAUGACAGGAAACCAGAAACUGGCUAACGAGCCCUGGAGGAACCAGCUCCAGCCCUGGUGACUGCGGCGGUGAGAUGCAGGAGGAGACGGGACGGAUGGGGGAGAGCGUCUGAGGCUGCAGGCUGGAUGUGGCCGGGCCAUGGAGCUGCUGUGGGCGGCCGCCGCGCUGAUGCUGCUGGGGGCUGCCGUCAGCCUCUGCGUCAAGUGCCGGCUCUCCGCUCCUAAGCGAGAGAAGCAGCUGAGUGACCGGAGGAGCCAGUAAGUUGUCUUUCACCACUGCACUUCUUCCCCAAACUGCUCACGCAGGCUGAGACCCUGCCCAGAGCCAGACCCGCUCCAUGCCUCACAGCUGAAAUCUGGAUUUGUAUAGAAUAAGAUAAUCCCAGAUUGGGGUGUGCAGGGUGGUGUGCCCCCACCCAGGGCGCUGCUGAGGGGGUAACGCCUCUACAAAGAAUAAUCCAAAACCAAACUGAACCUCUGACUGUGAUGCCUGAUGGUAAAAGGUUGUGGAGAAGUGGA